rnacentral:rRNA from 1 species
AGUGAACGCUGGCGGUAGGCCUAACACAUGCAAGUCGAACGGCAGCACAGUAAGAGCUUGCUCUUACGGGUGGCGAGUGGCGGACAGGUGAGGAAUACAUCGGAAUCUACUUUUUCGUGGGGGAUAACGUAGGGAAACUUACGCUAAUACCGCAUACGACCUACGGGUGAAAGCAGGGGAUCUUCGGACCUUGCGCGAUUGAAUGAGCCGAUGUCGGAUUAGCUAGUUGGCGGGGUAAAGGCCCACCAAGGCGACGAUCCGUAGGUGGUCUGAGAGGAUGAUCAGCCACACUGGAACUGAGACACGGUCCAGACUCCUACGGGAGGCAGCAGUGGGGAAUAUUGGACAAUGGGCGCAAGCCUGAUCCAGCCAUACCGCGUGGGUGAAGAAGGCCUUCGGGUUGUAAAGCCCUUUUGUUGGGAAAGAAAAGCAGCAGGUUAAUACCCCGCUGUUCUGACGGUACCCAAAGAAUAAGCACCGGCUAACUUCGUG